rfam:Eubacterium sp. CAG:156 genomic scaffold, scf223
UAUAGGAGAAAAAAAUGAACGAAGUUCAUUUUUUCCUAUAAAUGUUUCCGACGAAUAGCCACUGACCGAAGGGAGGGGGCAAUACAUAUU